GUGAAUCAUCGAAUUUUUGAACGCAAAUUGCGCUUCCUGGCAUCCCGGGAAGUAUGCCUGUUUGAGGGUCAGUAUUAACAAAAAAUCGGUUUGGUUGCAAGUUGUGACGUUUCUUGAGUUUGGGUUAUCUUAACUUUUUUGGUUAAGGGGCUUAAAAUUGACCUUUUUUGCGCAUUCUUAUACUU
rnacentral:misc_RNA from 1 species